GAUGAAGAACGCAGCGAAAUGCGAUACGUAAUGUGAAUUGCAGAAUUCAGUGAAUCAUCGAGUCUUUGAACGCACAUUGCGCCCCCUGGUAUUCCGGGGGGCAUGCCUGUCCGAGCGUCAUUGCUGCCCUCAAGCACGGCUUGUGUGUUGGGCCUCCGUCCUCCUCCCGGGGGACGGGCCCGAAAGGCAGCGCCGGCACCGCGUCCGGUCCUCGAGCGUAUGGGGCUUCGUCACCCGCUCUUGUAGGCCCGGCCGGCGCUUGCCGACACAUCAAUCUUUUUUCCAGGUUGACCUCGGAUCAGGUAGGGAUACCCGCUGAACUUAAGCAUAUCAAUAAGCGGAGGA
rnacentral:misc_RNA from 1 species